AUGAGCGCUGGCGGCGUGCCUAAUACAUGCAAGUCGAGCGAACGGACGAGAAGCUUGCUUCUCUGAUGUUAGCGGCGGACGGGUGAGUAACACGUGGAUAACCUACCUAUAAGACUGGGAUAACUUCGGGAAACCGGAGCUAAUACCGGAUAAUAUUUUGAACCGCAUGGUUCAAAAGUGAAAGACGGUCUUGCUGUCACUUAUAGAUGGAUCCGCGCUGCAUUAGCUAGUUGGUAAGGUAACGGCUUACCAAGGCAACGAUGCAUAGCCGACCUGAGAGGGUGAUCGGCCACACUGGAACUGAGACACGGUCCAGACUCCUACGGGAGGCAGCAGUAGGGAAUCUUCCGCAAUGGGCGAAAGCCUGACGGAGCAACGCCGCGUGAGUGAUGAAGGUCUUCGGAUCGUAAAACUCUGUUAUUAGGGAAGAACAUAUGUGUAAGUAACUGUGCACAUCUUGACGGUACCUAAUCAGAAAGCCACGGCUAACUACGUGCCAGCAGCCGCGGUAAUACGUAGGUGGCAAGCGUUAUCCGGAAUUAUUGGGCGUAAAGCGCGCGUAGGCGGUUUUUUAAGUCUGAUGUGAAAGCCCACGGCUCAACCGUGGAGGGUCAUUGGAAACUGGAAAACUUGAGUGCAGAAGAGGAAAGUGGAAUUCCAUGUGUAGCGGUGAAAUGCGCAGAGAUAUGGAGGAACACCAGUGGCGAAGGCGACUUUCUGGUCUGUAACUGACGCUGAUGUGCGAAAGCGUGGGGAUCAAACAGGAUUAGAUACCCUGGUAGUCCACGCCGUAAACGAUGAGUGCUAAGUGUUAGGGGGUUUCCGCCCCUUAGUGCUGCAGCUAACGCAUUAAGCACUCCGCCUGGGGAGUACGACCGCAAGGUUGAAACUCAAAGGAAUUGACGGGGACCCGCACAAGCGGUGGAGCAUGUGGUUUAAUUCGAAGCAACGCGAAGAACCUUACCAAAUCUUGACAUCCUUUGACAACUCUAGAGAUAGAGCCUUCCCCUUCGGGGGACAAAGUGACAGGUGGUGCAUGGUUGUCGUCAGCUCGUGUCGUGAGAUGUUGGGUUAAGUCCCGCAACGAGCGCAACCCUUAAGCUUAGUUGCCAUCAUUAAGUUGGGCACUCUAAGUUGACUGCCGGUGACAAACCGGAGGAAGGUGGGGAUGACGUCAAAUCAUCAUGCCCCUUAUGAUUUGGGCUACACACGUGCUACAAUGGACAAUACAAAGGGCAGCGAAACCGCGAGGUCAAGCAAAUCCCAUAAAGUUGUUCUCAGUUCGGAUUGUAGUCUGCAACUCGACUACAUGAAGCUGGAAUCGCUAGUAAUCGUAGAUCAGCAUGCUACGGUGAAUACGUUCCCGGGUCU
rnacentral:rRNA from 1 species